rnacentral:lncRNA from 1 species
AUUUAAUCCAAAGCAUUGCCUGUAUAUGGAGGCUAUAAAGAAAAAGGGCUCUUAACCUUUCUGUUUCUCAAACUAUGUGGAAGGAGAUCCCUAAGGCUCUACGACAGGGUGAUACAGAGAACUGUAGUGUUUCUUCCUUCUUUAUUUCAGUUACCAGAGCCUCCACUGCAAACAGGCUUGAAACUGGGUUGCUGAGCUUUUCAAGGGUGCUUAGUUUCAGAGAUAAACAAGGCUGUUGAAAUUAUGCCAGAUUUUAAAGGCAAACAAAAAUGUUUUUCUUGGAGCAGUUAGGCAGAUAAAAUGUUGGUAUUUCUUAGGUUCUCAGGUAUUCCAAUGAGGUUUCUAAACACGGACUUAAAGACCAAAUCAAUAAAGUUUUACAAAAUGAACUGGAGACCAAAAAUAAAGGGCUUUGAAACAUGAAAAUUGGGAACAAUUAGGUGCUGCAGCAGGUAAAGCAGUUUUUCAAAUGUAUGUUGACAAUGACUCCUGGUAUUUCUAACAACUGAAAGCUGUUGAUACCACUGAAUUGAGUAUCCUGUGCAAAGUGGUUUUCUAUUGUUUGUCUGGUUCCAAGUGGAGAAAUGUCUGUCAUAUGCAGAGUGAAAUUUAUGAGUGUGUUUGCUUUAAAUAUGCCUUUUAUGCAGCCAGUAGCCAAGGAAAUCUGGGUGAAGGUGAAUCACCAUUUACUACAGUGCGGUCCUGGAUUGGUGAACCAGCCCCUCAAGACUGCAGAAUCCAGAGCUGGUGACCAGCAUUACCAGUGGCUCACGUGGGUCCAGAUGGUCAGUGACACAAGCUGGAUUACAGAAUUAGCAGCAGAAAGUAUUAUGUUACUAAUUUCCACAAUAACUCAACACCUAGAUUUGGGAGCAGAGGAAUUUAGGGAAUGGAUCAAAUUGGUGAUCUCUGUUUUGUAAUCUUGCAUUCUCAUGGCUUUAGGGUGGGACUGUUACUCAGAGGGCUUUAGUUGUGGUGAGACCUUUUUUUUGCUCUCCUGUCUCAUACAACCUCUUCCCUCUCACUUCUGUGCAGGAGAGAAUUCCCAUUUCACUGGACACAAUGAUAAUUUUCGUUGCUCUUGGAGGGUGGUAGAGGAAAGAAGAACUUGGAUAACUCACAGUAAAGAAACCCACAGACUGUACUUAUUUUUAAAUAAUACCUUAUGCUCUUACUCCUUGUUUUACUUGUGAUAUUUUAAACCCUCCAGCAGGUGCUGCUGCAUCCUGCAAAUGUUGUCUUCGUGGAGGGAAAAAAAAAAAGUCAUGGACUGGACUACAAUUGGACUUUGUUCUUUGUGUCAUGCAUAUUUCUGUGUUCUUUUUUUCCCCUCAAACUGUUUGCCAGGUAAGUUAUUAAGGAGAGUUUUUAUGAUCGCAGCGAGUUUAAUCCUGCAAGCACUCUGUAAGAAGGGGUUGAAGAUCAGUGGGAGCUGCUGAUCAAAGUCAUGCUGAGAGAAAGCUGAACAGACCCCCAGGCAGAAAUACAUUUGUAUUUCUACAAAAUAUGAAGAAAUCCAAGUGUUUUCUUAGAAGUGAAAAGUAGUCCUAAAAGAAGUUGAAUUUAUAAAACUUACCAGCUCUUUUAUUGCUUUUCUGAAGUUUCUGGAAGUUCAGUAAUUUAAGUUCAUGAUUUUAAAUUGGUCUUAUCAUUAGCCUUGGUCUUGAGUGCUAGAAGUUUGCAAGACAGAUUACACAGCACCCAUUUCAGGAUCUCUGAGUUAGCAUUUCCAGGAUUUAGUGAGGAAUUGUGGCUGAGUUACAUACAGCUAAUGUAAAGAGAAGGGCUUUGUCCUGUUUGGUGAUGGACCACUUGUGCCAGGCAGGAAUGUGGGGAUAGUAAGAGUUGAAAUUAGGCCUUGGCAAUGUAUCCAUGAAGUCCUUGAGUUGCAGCAGGCCAGAAAUGCCCUCAUGAGCUAAAUGAUCUCAUUGAUCUCUGAUACUGACCUGCAUCUUUGUACUGAACAAUCACAGUGAUUAAACUUGGUUGUGACCAUGAUCUUGGCACUCUUCUGCUUAUCUAGGAAUUCUAAGUUUAAGUAAGAUGAAAUAUUGCUUUGCUUUUGAUAUUUAACUUUAGUAGUACUCUAAAGUUAAUAUAAGGGUAAUGGCAGUUAACUACAGUCAUAAAUCCCAGGCAGGCUGCACCUGCUAUCCUGCACUGUGAAACAGCUUGUGUUCCCUUCUUGUUCUGCCUGGAAUGGCUUGAAUUACCAUCUUUCUCUUUCACUUCUCUUCUUUAUUUCUUUAAGAAAUCUAACCUGGCUGUGGCAGUUACCACUCAGGAAGUUACAAGGAUGGGUCAAGAGUACACCUUCAUUUUCCUUUUGAUUCAGCUUCAAAAGAUUAAAUGUAAUUCGUUUAUAAGAAUUCAUGUAAUAAUCUAUGUAAUCCAGGUGCAAUAAACAUGGAGAUAAAAAGUCUUUAGUCA